rnacentral:rRNA from 1 species
CAGGGAUUGCCUCAGUAACGGCGAGUGAAGCGGCAAAAGCUCAAAUUUGAAAUCUGGCCCCUUCGGGGUCCGAGUUGUAAUUUGUAGAGGAUGUUUCGGGUGCGGUCCCGGUCUAAGUCCCUUGGAACAGGGCGUCAUAGAGGGUGAGAAUCCCGUAUGCGACCGGCGGCCAACCCCAUGUGAAACCCCUUCGACGAGUCGAGUUGUUUGGGAAUGCAGCUCAAAAUGGGUGGUAAAUUUCAUCUAAAGCUAAAUACCGGCCAGAGACCGAUAGCGCACAAGUAGAGUGAUCGAAAGAUGAAAAGCACUUUGGAAAGAGAGUCAAACAGUACGUGAAAUUGUUGAAAGGGAAGCGCUUGCGACCAGACCUGUCCGCGAGCGAUCAACCUCUGUUCUCAGGGGUGCACUCGCCCGCGAUCAGGCCAGCAUCGGUUCGGGCGGCCGGAUAAAGGCCUUGGGAAUGUAGCUCCCUUCGGGGAGUGUUAUAGCCCUCGGUGCAAUGCGGCCAGCCCGGACCGAGGACCGCGCUUCGGCUAGGAUGCUGGCGUAAUGGUCGUAAGCGACCCGUCUUGAAACACGGACCAAGGAGUCUAACAUCUAUGCGAGUGUUUGGGUGUCAAGCCCAUGCGCGGAAUGAAAGUGAACGGAGGUGAGAACCCUGAAGGGCGCAUCAUCGACCGAUCCAGAUGUCUUCGGAUGGAUUUGAGUACGAGCAUAGCUGUUGGGACCCGAAAGAUGGUGAACUAUGCCUGAAUAGGGUGAAGCCAGAGGAAACUCUGGUGGAGGCUCGCAGCGGUUCUGACGUGCAAAUCGAUCGUCAAAUUUGGGUAUAGGGGCGAAAGACUAAUCGAACCAUCUAGUAGCUGGUUCCUGCCGAAGUUUCCCUCAGGA